rnacentral:rRNA from 1 species
GAUGAACGCUAGCGAUAGGCUUAACACAUGCAAGUCGAGGGGCAGCAUUAUUUUAGCUUGCUAAGAUAGAUGGCGACCGGCGCACGGGUGCGUAACGCGUAUGCAACCUGCCUGUAAUUAGGGAAUAACCCGGUGAAAGUCGGACUAAUACCCUAUAUUCUUCUUUCUCCGCAUGGGGAAGGACGGAAAGAUUUAUUGAUUACAGAUGGGCAUGCGUCCCAUUAGCUUGUUGGUAAGGUAACGGCUUACCAAGGCAACGAUGGGUAGGGGGACUGAGAGGUUGACCCCCCACACUGGUACUGAGACACGGACCAGACUCCUACGGGAGGCAGCAGUGAGGAAUAUUGGUCAAUGGGCGAGAGCCUGAACCAGCCAAGUCGCGUGAAGGACGACGGUUCUAUGGAUUGUAAACUUCUUUUGUAGAGGAAUAAUGGCAGCUACUGUGUAGCUGAAAAGCAAGUACUU